UCACUCUUGAGCCUUGGCCUAGUGAAU
rnacentral:piRNA from 1 species